rnacentral:rRNA from 1 species
ACGCUGGCGGCGUGCCUAACACAUGCAAGUCGAACGAGAAAGUGGGAGCAAUCCUGCGAGUAGAGUGGCAAACGGGUGAGUAACACGUGAACAACCUACCCUUGAGUGUGGAAUAACCUCGCGAAAGCGGGGCUAAUGCCGCAUAACAUCCCUGGGUUGCAUGAUCUGGGGAUCAAAGGCGCAAGUCGCUUGAGGAGGGGUUCGCGCCUGAUUAGCUAGUUGGUGAGGUAACGGCCCACCAAGGCAACGAUCAGUAGCCGGCCUGAGAGGGCGAACGGCCACACUGGAACUGAGACACGGUCCAGACUCCUACGGGAGGCAGCAGUGGGGAAUUUUGCGCAAUGGGCGAAAGCCUGACGCAGCAACGCCGCGUGGAGGAUGAAGGCCUUCGGGUCGUAAACUCCUGUCAGGGGGGACGAAGGUCGGGAAACCGGCUUGACUGUACCCCUUGAGGAAGCCACGGCUAACUCCGUGCCAGCAGCCGCGGUAAUACGGAGGUGGCAAGCGUUGUUCGGAAUUACUGGGCGUAAAGGGCGCGUAGGCGGCUUGGCAAGUCAGAUGUGAAAGCCCCGAGCUUAACUUGGGAAUUGCAUCUGAAACUGCUUUGCUUGAGUCCUGGAGGGGGUAGUGGAAUUCCCAGUGUAGCGGUGAAAUGCGUAGAUAUUGGGAGGAACACCGGCGGCGAAGGCGGCUACCUGGACAGUGACUGACGCUGAGGCGCGAAAGCUAGGGGAGCGAACGGGAUUAGAUACCCCGGUAGUCCUAGCCGUAAACGAUGGGCACUUGGUGUUGGGGGUAUUGAGUCCCCCAGUGCCGGAGUUAACACGUUAAGUGCCCCGCCUGGGGAGUACGGUCGCAAGACUGAAACUCAAAG